GAUGAACGCUGGCGGCGUGCUUAACACAUGCAAGUCGAACGGUGAAGCAGAGCUUGCUCUGUGGAUCAGUGGCGAACGGGUGAGUAACACGUGAGCAACCUGCCCCUGACUCUGGGAUAAGCGCUGGAAACGGCGUCUAAUACUGGAUAUGAGCUUCGACCGCAUGGUCAGCAGUUGGAAAGAUUUUUCGGUCUGGGAUGGGCUCACGGCCUAUCAGCUUGUUGGUGAGGUAAUGGCUCACCAAGGCGUCGACGGGUAGCCGGCCUGAGAGGGUGACCGGCCACACUGGGACUGAGACACGGCCCAGACUCCUACGGGAGGCAGCAGUGGGGAAUAUUGCACAAUGGGCGAAAGCCUGAUGCAGCACCGCCGCGUGAGGGAUGACGGCCUUCGGGUUGUAAACCUCUUUUAGCAGGGAAGAAGCGAAAGUGACGGUACCUGCAGAAAAAGCGCCGGCUAACUACGUGC
rnacentral:rRNA from 1 species